rnacentral:rRNA from 1 species
UCCUGGCUCAGGAUGAACGCUAGCGGGAGGCUAACACAUGCAAGUCGAGGGGCAGCACGAGGUAGCAAUACUUGGUGGCGACCGGCGCACGGGUGAGUAACACGUAUGCAACCUACCCUGUACUGGGGGAUAGCCCGGAGAAAUUCGGAUUAAUACCCAUGAUUAUAUCGAGAGGCAUCUUUUGAUAUUUAAAGUUCGACGGUACGGGAUGGGCAUGCGCAACAUUAGCUAGUUGGUAGGGUAACGGCCUACCAAGGCUACGAUGUUUAGGGACCUGAGAGGGUGAUCCCCCACACUGGUACUGAGACACGGACCAGACUCCUACGGGAGGCAGCAGUGAGGAAUAUUGGUCAAUGGGGCGUAAGCCUGAACCAGCCAUCCCGCGUAGAAGGAAGAAGGCGCUAUGCGUUGUAAACUUCUUUUCCAGAGGAAGAAAACCCCUGACGUGUCAGGGCUUGCCGGUACUCUGGGAAUAAGCAUCGGCUAACUCCGUGCCAGCAGCCGC